AGAGUUUGAUCCUGGCUCAGGACGAACGCUGGCGGCGUGCUUAACACAUGCAAGUCGAACGAUGAUGCCCAGCUUGCUGGGUGGAUUAGUGGCGAACGGGUGAGUAACACGUGAGUAACCUGCCCCUGACUCUGGGAUAAGCGUUGGAAACGACGUCUAAUACUGGAUAUGAUCACUGGCCGCAUGGUCUGGUGGUGGAAAGAUUUUUUGGUUGGGGAUGGACUCGCGGCCUAUCAGCUUGUUGGUGAGGUAAUGGCUCACCAAGGCGACGACGGGUAGCCGGCCUGAGAGGGUGACCGGCCACACUGGGACUGAGACACGGCCCAGACUCCUACGGGAGGCAGCAGUGGGGAAUAUUGCACAAUGGGCGAAAGCCUGAUGCAGCAACGCCGCGUGAGGGAUGACGGCCUUCGGGUUGUAAACCUCUUUUAGUAGGGAAGAAGCGAAAGUGACGGUACCUGCAGAAAAAGCACCGGCUAACUACGUGCCAGCAGCCGCGGUAAUACGUAGGGUGCAAGCGUUGUCCGGAAUUAUUGGGCGUAAAGAGCUCGUAGGCGGUUUGUCGCGUCUGCUGUGAAAUCCCGAGGCUCAACCUCGGGCUUGCAGUGGGUACGGGCAGACUAGAGUGCGGUAGGGGAGAUUGGAAUUCCUGGUGUAGCGGUGGAAUGCGCAGAUAUCAGGAGGAACACCGAUGGCGAAGGCAGAUCUCUGGGCCGUAACUGACGCUGAGGAGCGAAAGCAUGGGGAGCGAACAGGAUUAGAUACCCUGGUAGUCCAUGCCGUAAACGUUGGGCGCUAGAUGUAGGGACCUUUCCACGGUUUCUGUGUCGUAGCUAACGCAUUAAGCGCCCCGCCUGGGGAGUACGGCCGCAAGGCUAAAACUCAAAGGAAUUGACGGGGGCCCGCACAAGCGGCGGAGCAUGCGGAUUAAUUCGAUGCAACGCGAAGAACCUUACCAAGGCUUGACAUACACCGGAAACGGCCAGAGAUGGUCGCCCCCUUGUGGUCGGUGUACAGGUGGUGCAUGGUUGUCGUCAGCUCGUGUCGUGAGAUGUUGGGUUAAGUCCCGCAACGAGCGCAACCCUCGUUCUAUGUUGCCAGCGGGUUAUGCCGGGGACUCAUAGGAGACUGCCGGGGUCAACUCGGAGGAAGGUGGGGAUGACGUCAAAUCAUCAUGCCCCUUAUGUCUUGGGCUUCACGCAUGCUACAAUGGCCGGUACAAAGGGCUGCGAUACCGUAAGGUGGAGCGAAUCCCAAAAAGCCGGUCUCAGUUCGGAUUGAGGUCUGCAACUCGACCUCAUGAAGUCGGAGUCGCUAGUAAUCGCAGAUCAGCAACGCUGCGGUGAAUACGUUCCCGGGCCUUGUACACACCGCCCGUCAAGUCAUGAAAGUCGGUAACACCCGAAGCCGGUGGCCUAACCCUUGUGGAAGGAGCCGUCGAAGGUGGGAUCGGUGAUUAGGACUAAGUCGUAACAAGGUAGCCGUACCGGAAGGUGCGGCUGGAUCACCUCCUU
rnacentral:rRNA from 4 species